rnacentral:lncRNA from 1 species
UUUCUUGAGCACAAGGUCACCUUCUCGGAACACGCGAGGCUUGACCUUCUUGUCGAAUGUUUUCUUCAUUCUCUGCUGAUAUAACUGACCAUGGCACAUGGCAGUUAAUCUCUUCUCUUCGAUCAAAUUCAACUGGUCAUAACGACUCUGAAUCCAUUCAGCAUCAGUCAACUAGGGACUUGAGGGUAUACUUUUUUUCUUUUUUCCCUUGGAAAAAUCUUGAAAAAAUUUUCCUGGUUUUUUGAUUUCUUCUUCUUUUUUCACCCUCUUUUUUCUUCUUUUUUUUUCGAUUUUUUUUUUCUUUUUUUUUAAUCCCCAGUUUGACUGUUUAGCUGAUUCUCAUGAUACAGCUGAAUGAGCUUCUUUGGUGCUCAAGAAGGCGGGUAAUCUCGUCAGGAAUCCCCUU